UUUAACUGAAGAGUUUGAUCAUGGCUCAGAUUGAACGCUGGCGGCAGGCUUAACACAUGCAAGUCGAGCGGGGGAAG
rnacentral:rRNA from 1 species